CAUGACUCUAGUUGCCACAUUAGAACAUAGGAGGUCCUUUCGGAAGCAUUCCUUUGAGGAUGUAAGGCAAUGGCAAUAGGGAUGAAAGAGAGCACAGUCGUGGUGUGGCCCAACCAAACUGCCCCUGAGCUGUCCAGCCUGCUGCCUACCUUGCUGUCUUCCUUGAGUCAUCACCCUGGUCCCCAACGUCCAAAUGCAGGAAAAUGAAGCCAAGAUAUUUUUGAGUCUCAACCCUAUGCUCAGCAAUAUGUUUUGUACUUUCCUGUAUGUGUCCUCAUUUUAUCCUCAGAGCAAUCCGCCGAGGUAAGGGCGCCUCACGAGGGAACGCGCUGACACCACACGGGGCGGA